rnacentral:snRNA from 1 species
CGGCACUGUGGGCAGGCAAAUGCGUAAACUUAUCCUCUGCCUUUUACUGACGAUAACCGUUUCCUGCCCACGCCAAAGUGCUGUGACCAUACAAUUUUUCUUCUUCCUUGACUCCAACCUG